rnacentral:rRNA from 1 species
AUUGAACGCUGGCGGCAUGCUUUACACAUGCAAGUCGAACGGUAACAGGCCGCAAGGUGCUGACGAGUGGCGAACGGGUGAGUAAUGCAUCGGAACGUGCCCAGUCGUGGGGGAUAACGCAGCGAAAGCUGCGCUAAUACCGCAUACGAUCUAUGGAUGAAAGCGGGGGACCGUAAGGCCUCGCGCGAUUGGAGCGGCCGAUGUCAGAUUAGGUAGCUGGUGAGGUAAAGGCUCACCAAGCCAACGAUCUGUAGCUGGUCUGAGAGGACGACCAGCCACACUGGGACUGGGACACGGCCCAGACUCCUACGGGAGGCAGCAGUGGGGAAUUUUGGACAAUGGGCGCAAGCCUGAUCCAGCAAUGCCGCGUGCAGGAAGAAGGCCUUCGGGUUGUAAACUGCUUUUGUACGGAACGAAACGGUCCGGGUUAAUACCCUGGGCUAAUGACGGUACCGUAAGAAUAAGCACCGGCUAACUACGUGCCAGCCGCCGCCGUAAGAC